GAAAUGCGAUAAGUAGUGUGAAUUGCAGAAUUCAGUGAAUCAUCAAAUCUUUGAACGCACAUUGCGCCCUUUGGUAUUCCUUAGGGCAUGCCUGUUCGAGCGUCAUCUAAACCUUCAAGCCCUGCUUGGUGUUGGGUGCCUGUCCCGCCUCCGCGCGCGGACUCACCUCAAAUCCAUUGGCGGCCCCCGCGUCGGCCACGAGCGCAGCAGAAACGCGAACUCGUGAGCCCGUCCGGGCGGCUCCCAGAAGCUACACCCACCCAGUUUGACCUCGGAUCAGGUAGGGAUACCCGCUGAACUUAAGC
rnacentral:misc_RNA from 1 species